rnacentral:rRNA from 1 species
GACGAACGCUGGCGGCGUGCUUAACACAUGCAAGUCGAACGGUAAGGCCCUUCGGGGUACACGAGUGGCGAACGGGUGAGUAACACGUGGGUGAUCUGCCCUGCACCUCGGGAUAAGCCUGGGAAACUGGGUCUAAUACCGGAUAGGACCACUGCCUGCAUGGGUGGUGGUGGAAAGCUUUUGCGGCGUGGGAUGGGCCCGCGGCCUAUCAGCUUGUUGGUGGGGUGAUGGCCUACCAAGGCGACGACGGGUAGCCGGCCUGAGAGGGGGACCGGCCACACUGGGACUGAGGUACGGCCCAGACUCCUACGGGAGGCAGCAGUGGGGAAUAUUGCACAAUGCGCGCAAGCCUGAUGCAGCGACGCCGCGUGAGGGAUGACGGCCUUCGGGUUGUAAACCUCUUUCAGCACCGACGAAGCGCAAGUGACGGUAGGUGCAGAAGAAGGACCGGCCAACUACGUGCCAGCCGCCGCAGUAA